UGGGGAAUAUUGCACAAUGGGCGAAAGCCUGAUGCAGCAACGCCGCGUGAGUGAUGAAGGCCUUCGGGUUGUAAAGCUCUGUCUUCUGGGACGAUAAUGACGGUACCAGAGGAGGAAGCCACGGCUAACUACGUGCCAGCAGCCGCGGUAAUACGUAGGUGGCAAGCGUUGUCCGGAUUUACUGGGCGUAAAGGAUGCGUAGGCGGAUACUUAAGUCAGAUGUGAAAAUCCCGGGCUUAACUUGGGAACUGCAUUUGAAACUGGGUAUCUAGAGUGCGGGAGAGGAGAGUUGAAUUCCUAGUGUAGCGGUGAAAUGCGUAGAGAUUAGGAAGAACACCAGUGGCGAAGGCGACUUUCUGGACCGUAACUGACGCUGCGGCAUGAAAGCGUGGGGAGCAAACA
rnacentral:rRNA from 1 species